rnacentral:lncRNA from 1 species
GCGCGCCUUACCAGGGCUGGGCGCACAGAGUGCUGCGCAGGAAGGCCACGGCGCCCCCCGACAGCCCCGCGUAGCAGCGGCUCAGCCGGACCAGCCCCUUGCGCAGUCCUCUCUGCAGGUCCUCAGCCACCACCACCAGGAUGGUCAGAAGCUGGAAGUUCUUGAGGGUGGCAGAGAUGAGGACACGGCUGCUGCUCUCCAGGGGGGCUCCGUCUGCAAAAGGACAGAGCAAGCCUCAUGCCACAGCCAGGCCUCACACCUCUCCCUGGGCCUCAGUUUUCCUCCGGACAGCGAGGCAUCCCGUGUGGCCAGCUCACAGGAUGGCCACUCACCCGAUUUCACACAGCCCCCAGCCCCUGGGACAGCUUCUUACCUUUGCUCCAGGUGGCCUGGGCAGCUGGCUGGGCUGACACCUGGCAGGCCAGUGUCACUGACUGGCCCAGGACCACAGUCUCAUCUGAGAGCUCCCUUAGGAAUGUCGGCGCUGAGGAGGGAGGGUGAGGUCAGCCUUCAGGGGUGACCUCCAGGCCCCAGAGCAUGGCCUGGACCCUGGAGACACCAGGAGGAGCCCUGCCCCACCACUGCCAACUCCCCAGCCUGGCCCAUCUGCACCACCAUCACCUCCUCCAGGAAGUCCUCCAAGACUGCUCAGUUCACCACACCCACCAGGACCCCUCAUCUGUUCCCACACCCAUGCUCGUCCAGCGGCAGGUGCCUCCCAGGGAAGUGGAAGAGGCUGCGUGACGGCGAGGACCACUUGCGCUUCCUGCCCACGGCAGCCUCCGCCAGCAGCGCGUCCACAUCCUCUGGCUCCUCUGUGAUCUCCAGGCCUGCGUGGGGGCCCAGUUCACCUGGCCAGGGCCACGUGGGCUCCGGGAACUCGGCCAGCUCCUCCUCAGCCAUGGGGGAGGGCGGCUCUGGCUGAGCGGACUUGGGGACUUUCCUGAAGAUCAUAAACUCGAAUGGGAGGUACUUGAUAUCGUACAGGUCUGAGAGGUUGAGGUAGGCGGGGUCCACCUCAGAAAUGUCCAGGGAUAUUGUGUCGGCCGCCUCCGCAUCACCUGACAGGUCCCGGAUCUGCACCAAGGAGACCUGCCCGAUGUCCUCCCAUGGGGUGGGCUCUGGAGAGCUCCUGGCGGGAGCCCUGCCGACCUCAGGCACAGGCCUUGCACUGACCUGGGGCAGUGGGCUCUCAGCCCUGGCCUCCUCUUGCUGCUCCUCCGACUGGGACUCAGCCCUGGCCUCCUCCUGCUCCUCCUCCUCCGACUGGGACACAGCCCAGGCUAUCCUGGCCCACAUGGGCCCCUGCCCCAGCAUGCCCCCUGCAUCUCCACCAAAGGCAAAGGUGCCAUAGCCAGCCACGCCUGCGUAGCCCCCACGACCACCCAGGGAGAACUUCCGCAUGGUCGCCUGUUCCUGAGGCC